GUGCUUAUGCUGGCACUACACAUACUAAAAGUGGAAUGAUACAGAGAAGAUUAUUGUGGUCUCUGUGCAAAGAUGACAAACAAAUUUGUGAAGUGUCCUAUAUUUUU
rnacentral:snRNA from 1 species